rnacentral:rRNA from 1 species
CAGCCGUAAACUAUGCGCGUUAGGUGUACUGGUGACCACGAGUCACCGGGGUGCCGAAGGGAAACCGUGAAACGUGCCGCCUGGGAAGUACGGUCGCAAGGCUGAAACUUAAGGAUUGGCGGGGAGCACCACAACGGGUGGAGCCUGCGGUUUAAUUGGACUCAACGCCGGAAAUCUCACCGGAUAGGACAGACAUAUGAUAGUCGGGCUGAAGACUCUACUUGAUGAUCUGAGAGGUGGUGCAUGGCGUCAGUG